CCUACGGGCGGCAGCAGUGGGGAAUAUUGGACAAUGGGCGCAAGCCUGACCCAGCAACGCCGCGUGAAUGAAGAAGGCUUUCGGGUUGUAAACUUCUUUUGUCAGGGACGAAGGAAGUAACGGUACCUGACGAGUAAGCCACGGAUAACUGCGUGCCAGAAGCCGCGGUAAUACGUAGGUGGCAAGCGUUCUCCGGAGUUAUUGGGUGUAAAGGGCGGAUAUGCGGGAAUGCAAGUCAGAGGUGAAAACUAUGGGCACAACCCAUAACCUGCAUUUGAAACUGUAUGUCUUGAGGGCUGGAGAGGCAAUCGGAAUUCCGUGUGUAGCGGUGAAAUGCGUAGAUAUACGGAGGAACACCAGUGGCGAAGGCGGAUUGCUGGACAGUAACUGACGCUGAGGCGCGAAAGCGUGGGGAGCAAACAGGAGUAGAUACCCUAGUAGUC
rnacentral:rRNA from 1 species